GACGAACGCUGGCGGCGUGCUUAACACAUGCAAGUCGAACGGAAAGGCCCUGCUUUUGUGGGGUGCUCGAGUGGCGAACGGGUGAGUAACACGUGAGUAACCUGCCCUUGACUUUGGGAUAACUUCAGGAAACUGGGGCUAAUACCGGAUAGGAGCUCCUGCUGCAUGGUGGGGGUUGGAAAGUUUCGGCGGUUGGGGAUGGACUCGCGGCUUAUCAGCUUGUUGGUGGGGUAGUGGCUUACCAAGGCUUUGACGGGUAGCCGGCCUGAGAGGGUGACCGGCCACAUUGGGACUAAGAUACGGCCCAGACUCCUACGGGAGGCAGCAGUGGGGAAUAUUGCACAAUGGGCGGAAGCCUGAUGCAGCAACGCCGCGUGCGGGAUGACGGCCUUCGGGUUGUAAACCGCUUUCGCCUGUGACGAAGCGUGAGUGACGGUAAUGGGUAAAGAAGCACCGGCUAACUACGU
rnacentral:rRNA from 1 species